AUGGAAAUCUUCUUCACGGUAAUGACCAUUUCCUUGCUGUCGAUACCCACCUGCUUCGCCUUCGACACCUCGAACGACGCGAUCCCGUCUGACGUCAUCGAGAAACCGUCGGGAAACUCCGGCGAGGAAAUCAUGAAAACGGCCGAAAACGUCAUUUUCCGACCGUACUUCCAACACCCCGUCCACCAUCACCACGGUGCCCAUCAUCACCACGGAAACCCGCAGACAAACUCCCAGCCAGCCGUGGAGGCGCGUCGGAAACAAAAACUUCUCCGGUUCUCUUGA
rnacentral:lncRNA from 1 species